rnacentral:rRNA from 1 species
AGUCGAGGGGCAGCGGGGUAGUGCUUGCACUACUGCCGGCGACCGGCGCACGGGUGAGUAACACGUAUGGAACCUGCCCGCAACAGGGGGAUAAGCGGAAGAAAUUCCGUCUAAUACCGCGUAACAUUCUCCGGAGGCAUCUCCGGGGAAUCAAAGAUUCAUCGGUUGCGGAUGGCCAUGCGGCGCAUUAGCUAGUCGGCGGGGUAACGGCCCACCGAGGCGACGAUGCGUAGGGGUUCUGAGAGGAAGGUCCCCCACACUGGUACUGAGACACGGACCAGACUCCUACGGGAGGCAGCAGUGAGGAAUAUUGGUCAAUGGCCGAGAGGCUGAACCAGCCAAGUCGCGUGAGGGAUGACGGCCCUACGGGUUGUAAACCUCUUUUGUCAGGGAGCAAGGGGCAUCACGUGUGAUGCUGUGAGAGUACCUGAAGAAAAAGCAUCGGCUAACUCCGUGCCAGCAGCCGCGGUAAUACGGAGGAUGCGAGCGUUAUCCGGAUUUAUUGGGUUUAAAGGGUGCGCAGGCGGACUCUCAAGUCAGCGGUCAAAUCGCGGGGCUCAACCCCGUUCCGCCGUUGAAACUGGGAGCCUUGAGUGCGCGAGAAGUAGGCGGAAUGCGUGGUGUAGCGGUGAAAUGCAUAGAUAUCACGCAGAACUCCGAUUGCGAAGGCAGCCUACCGGCGCGCAACUGACGCUCAUGCACGAAAGCGUGGGUAUCGAACAGGAUUAGAUACCCUGGUAGUCCACGCAGUAAACGAUGAACACUAACUGUCCGGCCCGAUUGGGGGCUGGGAGGUACAGCGAAAGCGUUAAGUGUUCCACCUGGGGAGUACGCCGGCAACGGUGAAACUCAAAGGAAUUGACGGGGGCCCGCACAAGCGGAGGAACAUGUGGUUUAAUU